CCGCCGCCGCCGGAGCCCGCGCCCGCGCCCGGCCCGCGCGGCCCCAUGCCUCUGGCGCGGCCCUCGGGGGGGCGAAGGUGAAGACCGGCUCCUAGGAUGAGUGAAGGGGCGGCCGCUGCCUCGCCACCUGGUGCCGCUUCGGCAGCCGCCGCCUCGGCCGAGGAGGGCACCGCGGCGGCUGCGGCGGCGGCAGCGGCGGGCGGGGGCCCGGACGGCGGCGGCGAAGGGGCGGCCGAGCCCCCCCGGGAGUUACGCUGUAGCGACUGCAUCGUGUGGAACCGGCAGCAGACGUGGCUGUGCGUGGUACCUCUGUUCAUCGGCUUCAUCGGCCUGGGGCUCAGCCUCAUGCUUCUCAAAUGGAUCGUGGUGGGCUCCGUCAAGGAGUACGUGCCCACCGACCUAGUGGACUCCAAGGGAAUGGGCCAGGACCCCUUCUUCCUCUCCAAGCCCAGCUCUUUCCCCAAGGCCAUGGAGACCACCACCACGACCACUUCCACCACGUCCCCCGCCACCCCCUCCGCCGGGGGUGCCGCCUCCUCCAGGACGCCCAACCGGAUUAGCACUCGCCUGACCACCAUCACGCGGGCGCCCACUCGCUUCCCCGGGCACCGGGUGCCCAUCCGGGCCAGCCCGCGCUCCACCACAGCACGGAACACUGCGGCCCCCCCGACGGUCCUAUCCACCACGGCCCCGUUCUUCAGUAGCAGCACGCCGGGCUCCCGACCCCCGGUGCCAGGCACCCCAAGUACCCAGGCAAUGCCCUCCUGGCCUACUGCGGCAUACGCUACCUCCUCCUACCUUCACGAUUCUACUCCCUCCUGGACCCUGUCUCCCUUUCAGGAUGCUGCCUCCUCUUCUUCCUCUUCUUCCUCCUCCGCUACCACCACCACACCAGAAACUAGCACCAGCCCCAAAUUUCAUACGACGACAUAUUCCACAGAGCGAUCCGAGCACUUCAAACCCUGCCGAGACAAGGACCUUGCAUACUGUCUCAAUGAUGGCGAGUGCUUUGUGAUCGAAACCCUGACCGGAUCCCAUAAACACUGUCGGUAAGCCACGGAGGCCACUGGUGGAAAGGGCAGGCCCUCUGCAAGGCCUGGGGGUGGAGGGUGCUGGCAGCAUCUGGAAUGUGUCAUGUCCGGGAUACACACAGUCCCACCGUUUGAAUAGCAGAAUUGGGAGUCUUAAUUUGGAAAGGGCAAGGCUGCUGUCUCUUUAACAGUUGAAGAAGACAAAACGGAAACAAAGUAGUUACGGUUUAAGUUUUACCUGAUCAAGCAAACAAAGAUUUGCUUUUAGAUCUGCAAAGUUACUGGAAAUAAUUAUUUACACACUUUCGAAGCGUAUAUUUAUGACGUGGAACUUAGGCAUAUAUCCUAGUACUCAGAAAUAAUCUGUUCUUGAGAACCUACAGACUGUGGCAGGAGAAGCAAACUGCUCAUCUAAGAUCUAGAAUCUCAGUGUUUAUUGUGAACCAACCCCAGAGACUUUAACUGUGUCCAGAGAGAACGGCAUUUUAUUUUGUUUCUUCCUUCGUUUAUUAAUUUCUGUACUUUUUCUUAACACCUCUGAUGAAACACUCUCCAGCAAGAAGUUGUGAAUGAAAUAGUAGUCCUGUGAUAGUCUAGGUGGAGAACUACUUGGGGAAAACUCCCAGUAGAGAUCAGGAAGGUGUUUAACUGGUUUUUAGAGACAUAAGGUUAUGUAACUGCUAAAAAUAAAAACAAGGGAGGAUAAAGAGUGCACUUAUAGACACUGCAGCUUUAAGACUCAAUAGAAGAAUCAAAUUAACAUCUGAAAACUAUUUCUUACCAAGCUUUCAUUUCCAGUAUUAGCCUGGUAAUUUGUUUUUCUUUGCAAUUGUAUAUGCAUCAGUGAUCAUAUAUAUCCACACCCCUUUUCUUCUCUUUAUUUACUCUUCUCAUAUGACACAGUUAUUAAUUAUUCUGAAUCGUGAGGCAUGGAAAAUUAUGACCUUUUUCUAUUACUAUUAUAGAACUCUAUUCCCAUGUUGUUUCACUAAGAUGGUGCAGAGAAACGUAUUGUAUAGUUACGAACUUAGAAGAUGCCAUGCCAGCAGAAGCUGCCUGGAUCCAAGAGCCAGGUUUAGUCCACAGGGAAGAUGUAUUGCCACACUGAGCAAUGGCACAGGUUUGAAAGAACAGAUACAUGAUAUAGUAGGAGGGCUCUGUAAAAGUUACCAUAUGUCCUGUGUCAGGACAAAUAGAACUGUGACCUUUCCUCACCCCUGACAUGUGGUGUUCAUAUAUGACUUUGGCAGUGCCGCUGCAUUUACCCUAGUUGCAAAAUUUGCACCCUAUUCCUAUGCUCUGCAAACCUGGAUUGGGGAAGAAGGGGAGUGGGGAUUGUUUCUCUCCACACUCCUCCUCUCUCAUAUUUAUUGUGACUGUGCAUGUAUGGAUACAAAGCACACAAUGACAUUAAGACCUUAAGGGAGAAAUCCAGGAAUGAGCUACCCCUUCAAAGCGUGAGGUGCAUGCAAGCUCUUUUAGAUCCUCAACCAUGUUACUGUGGCCAAUCUAAUGGGAUUAUCAUUUGGAAGUGGCCAAUGCAAUCAAUUAUGUUUAAAUUCAUAAUCAGUUGAAGAAGGGAUGAAUCAGAAGCAUUAGCUAAAGUAGUGGCUUUCUUUGAUGGUGUUUUAGCCGGAGGAGGAAUCGGAUCAGGUCCCACCGCAGUAUGCAGGCUGAGAUGAUUCAUCUUUUCCAAAACUGAGACUAUCAGGAGAACAAAGGAAUUCUUCUUUUUCCGCAUAUGGUCAUGCUGUAUUCUUCAUUACUUCAUGAGUGUAUUAAUUUGCUAGGACUGCUGUAACAAAGUGCUACAGACUGGGAGGCUUCACUGUGGAAAUUUACUUUCUCACAGUCCUGGAGAUCAGAAGUCCAAGAUCAAGGUGUCUGCAGAGUUGAUUCCUUUUGAGGCCUCUCUCCUUGGCUUAUAGAUGGUCAAGGAGAUGUACCUUAUCAUGUUUCCUCUGUAGGUGUUUGUGUUCAAAGUUGAUUCCUUUUGAGGCCUCUCUCCUUGGCCCGUAGAUGGUCAAGGAGAUGUAUCUUCUCAUCAUGUUUCCUCUCUAGGUGUGUGUGUUCCAAAUUUCCUCUAAGGACAUCAGCCAUAUUAGAUUAGAGCACAUCCUCAUGACCUGAUUUUAACUUCAUUACUUCUGUAAAGACCUUUCUCCAAAUAUGAUCACAUUCUGAGGAACUGGAGUUUACUUCAUGUGGGGAUUUUAUUUUUUUGUAGAUAAAUUCAGUCUAUAACAAUGAGUCUCAUGUCCAUAAAAGAAAAACCCUUUGCUUUUGUGAGAUGCAUGUACAUCUCUAAUUUUUGUAACACACAUAAGCAGAUAUAUACCUAUAGUUAAGUGAAAUGAUGUACAUAUUUAAUAAUUUUGGCCUUCUGUCUUCAUAUUUCUUGCAUAUUUCAGUACAGACCGCCUGUUAUUUAACAUAGACUCACAACAUAGCUAACUAUGACAAAAGACUAGCCUAAGACAAAAUUGGAACUCGAGUAGGUUAAUAGAUGCCUAUAAAUCUCAUACUAGUGUGUAUGAAUAAAUCACACGUAACAUGUGCCUGCUAUUCAUCUCUCAAGCUUUGCUGUGAAUAAAAGGCUUACAUUUGUUCCUGCAUCAGGCACUUCUAAAAAUUCCAAUGUAGUUAUUAAUAAUGUGCCAUUUUGUACUGCACUCUAUUUAAGUAGUAUGUUUCAGUCAUUCCCCUAUUCAACAAAUGUUUACUGAGCACCUCCUAUCACUAAGAUACUGUUGAAUAAAUACAUACAGAAAUGAAUUUAAAAAUUAAAUGGCACAGUGCUUUGUAAUGUGUUUGGAGUAAGAAAAAUACUUCAUCAUUAGGAAAUGUUAAAAAGCAAAAUACUUCAGAGUGACUGACAUGCUACCAGGAGUAUGUUUACCACAUCGUAGUUACUGGAUUUUGUUUCAAGUUAAAUAAGAUGCCAUUUAAUAGAUCUGAGCGGCAAUAUAAAGGCUCGUGCAUGACUCCAGCUUAUUCAAUAGAUUAUUUUUGUAUGUCUCAAAAGAUUAGACAUCUAAAUCUGAAAGAAAUUAAAAUUGUAUUUCCUAGAUUAAAAAAUACAUUGUAAUCCUAUAAUAAACUGCAUCAAAUAUUUUUCUGUGUUGUGAAAAUAGACGAUGCUCUGACACAUUUCUGUUUUCUUCUCAAGGAACGAUAAGAACACAAUUACCAAACUAUUUGUGAUAGAAAUCCUGAAAGUACAUGCAAAAAAAAAAAAAAAAAGACAAUAAUCCCAGAAAAGGGAGGAGUUGAAAGUGGGGGACAUGUUUGUUUCUUUGUAAUUUUCUUAUUCCAGUUCUUCAAGAAACAUUUGUGGUACCAGUACUUAGAAAUUAUAAAGCAAUUUAAUUAAAAAAAAUCAACAGAAGGAUUUUUAAAGAACAAGAAAUAGAGAAAAUAGAUUUUCCUAAAUUCAAAAUAUAAUGUGUAUAUAUAUAUGUAUGUAUGUAUGUAUGUGUGUGUGUAUAUAUAUAUAUAUAUAUUUUUUAUUUUUCUGAGAAGGAGCCUUGCUCUGUCACUCAGGUUGGAGCACAGUGGUGUGAUCUUGGCUCAAUGCAGCCUCAAUCUCCUGAUCUCAGGCCAUUCUCCCUACACAGCCUUCUGAGUAGCUGGGAUUACAGGUGCUCACCACCAUGCCCAGAUAAUUUCUGUUUGUUUUUUUUUUUUUUUUUUUUUUUUUUUGUAGAGAUGGGGCCUCACUAGGUUGCCCAGGCUGGUCUCCAACUCCUGGCCUCAAGUGAUCCCACUGCCUCGGCUUUCUAAAAUUUUGGGAUUACAGAUGUGAGUUACUAUGCCCAGCCUGAAAAUAUAAAGCCACAGAUCAUCCACAGGCUAAUUAGUGAAAACAGAUUGUGGCAUAUUGUGGGACUUAGUAUAGAACAAGGAUUGAUUCAUAAACCAGAGGAAAAUGAGAGACCGAUUGUUCAAUAAAUGAUUGACUAUCAGGUAAAUAGAAUCAAAAGUGUAUGUUGACCCCUCUUUCUAUACCAAAAGUAUACUAAUGAUUUAAAAAAAAGUUAAUGUAAUAAAUAAAGCCUAGGGAAAAUAAUAAAUAAAAUUACAUAUUUAUUUAUGUCAGCAAUUGUAAGGACCUGUGAGCAAAUAAAAGCAAUGGAAGGCAAAAAUUAACAACUUCAACACAGCAUUGUUUUUUAUCUGAAUAUCAUAAAUCAGAAACAAAAUUAAAAGACAAACUAUGAGGAAACCGAAUAACAAAUAUGGCAAAGAAUUAAAACCCUGAAGAAGUCAUGUGGAUCAAAGGGUAACAUUAAAAUAAAAUCUCAAUGGGAAAUGGACAAAGGGGAGGAACAUAAUCUAUCUAAAGAGAAAUACAGAUAACCAGCAAACAAGUAUACUCAGCCUCACAGAGAAAUGCAAAUUAAGCAUUUUUUUUCCUGUCCUUUAUUUAAAGAUUUUUAAAAGUGAUACCCAGUUUCCCAGUUUAGUAAGGGGGCUGUGAAAACACCUGUCCGCAAAUACUACUUGAGGGAGUGCACUUUCUUAAAGAUUUUUUUGUAGGUAAUAUUUUAGUAUGUUUUAAAAGCCUUAUAGUGGUUUUUUUGUUUGUUUGGUUGGUUUUUUUGAGACGGAGUCUCACCCUGUCACCCAUGCUGGAGUGCAGUGGCCUGAUCUAGGCUCAUUGCAAACUCCACCUCCCAGGUUCACGCCAUUCUCCUGCCUCAGCCUCUCUGGUAGCUGGGACUACAGGCACCCGCCACCAUGCCUGGCUGAUUUUUUGUAGUUUUUUCGUAGAGACAGGGUUUCACUGUGUUAGCCAGGAUGGUCUCGAUCUCCUGACCUCGUGAUCCACCCGCCUCGGCCUUCCAAAGUGCUAGGAUUACAGGCGUAAGCCACCACACGUGGCCCAUAGACAUGCUUGUGAAUAUUUAUUUGUAGGGAAGCUCACCACAUUUUUAUCUGUAAUAGCAAAAAUUUUUAACAAGUCUGAAAUUAUGAAUUUAAAUGUCUAUAUAAAUUAGAAUAUAUGUGUACAUUGGAUGAAUUUUCACAGUAUUUUGAGGAUAUCCAAUGGUGACUAUGUCAUGUUAGGUAUAAAAAUGUAAUAUGAAAUUGCAAACUUGAACAUACAGUAGAAUCCUAAUUCUGAAAAAAAAAAAAAAAAAAAACCUAAAAAGAUUGAUAGUUUAUUACUAUUUGCUUCUUUCAACUUGGCGAAUUUUCUAACGUCUCUAUAUUACACAUAUAUUUCAUUUAUGUAACACUCGGUUAAGACAGUUGACUCCUGCCUCUAGUCUUUCCAUUAAGAAAUAUAAAUAGCGUCCCUGUCUCUGUAAAAUCAAGGUCAUUAUAAUUCACUGUUAUUAAGCUGAUAAGAGAAAUUUCAAUUAAGUGCUUCCAGAUUAAGCACUACUAAGUCUAUUUGAGUGUGUCUGCUCCUUCUUUUAUUAAUAAUUCAUUGAUAUGUUUUAUAAUAAUUAAUUUGCAUGUAGAAAUCAUGUUUUGAAAACAUUAAAAACAUUGGAUUUAAUAAAAGGUAGAUACACCCUAUAGACAUGAAGCUGGAUAAAGAAGGAAAAUAAGUCACCAGAAACACUUUGAAUCAAAAUAUUCUGAAUAAAAUCAGAAUAUUCUAUGAUCUUUUCAUUUUUAUGCCAUUUCAAAAAUGUUGGCAAUGGUGCUAUGUAUAAUAUAUUGCACUAGAGUGAAAAGAGGUAGCCAUUGUAAUUGAAAAGAUUGCUACACAUUUGAAUGGACCAAAUGUGUUUUAAGGCCAAAUUCAAGUAAAAAGGAUGUGUCUCUUCUGAAUUGAAGCUCAUUAAAUGUUUCACCAGCCUUCCUGCAAAAAUGGAUUUUCAAAACUUUGGAAAGGGUAGCAUUUAAGAUGAAUUUGACCUGUAUUGACCGUUCUGGAAAUCAACCAAGCAAUUCGCUUGAAGAUACUUGAAGCACUUGAAAUAAAUGUGGAAUUGCUGGAAAAAAAAUAAGGCAGCCCAAUAGCAACCAUUGUCCAGGGUGAUACUUUGGUAACAGGACUGAUGGCUUUUAUAACAAUCUGACAUGCUGAUAGGAGUUGGGGAGUGGGGGCAGCCAUUGGGAAGGAGGAAGGGAACCCUAAGAGUAGUUUUUUCUGCCUAUUAUGACUGGCUGUCUCUGAGUAGGUUUUGAAAUGAAAGCUUCCAUUUUUAAGAGAAUUGAUUGGUCAUUGUGUAAUGACAAUUCUGCGAUAUAAUAGGACCAUCCCAGUUAGUGCUUUGCUCUGUCACUUUGGAGGUCCAUUAGCUCUUCCAUUCAGUGAGGGUCCUCUUUAUCAAAUGGUUCUCCAGUAAGUGCUCUGAGAGCAGCAGCUAAUGAUUCCCUGUGGCUGAAGCAAGUCAGAAUGAAAAUGGAGUUUUGGCACACAUCCCUGAACUCCAUCAGCAGGAGGGAAUGAAGGCUAAAAUAUCUAUAAAUCCAGACCAGGCUGCAGAGUUGCUGCAGAUUCCCUGCCGAAUGGUGUUAAUAACAAGGUGAAGAACCUUAGAAGAAUUUUCGGGUUCAUCAAAGAAAUGUUCAUGAGAAUGUUUGCCAUAGCCCAGACAUAAUUUAAGUAAUUUGCAAUAGCCAUAUUGAUAACAGGUGGUCUACUGAUUGCUUUUGACAAGAAGAAAUGAAGAAAGUUAUAAUUCUUCUUCUUCUCUGUGGACAUAGUUUGUCAUGAUGGUCUUAGAAACUCAGAAAGCAAGCAAACCAACAAUACAAUGAACGUAAUUUUGUAAUUCCAUGACACUGAAGCAGUGGUUUACCUCUUCUAAUUCGACCUCUUUGUAUUUCUUUGUAUUGUUACUUUAUCUGCACAGCUUUGUUGACAGGUCAAUGUACUUGUGUCAGAACUUCUUGAUAGGUACUCAGAGUCUCCCAGCACAGUGAGUCUUGUGCAGAGAGUUCAAUUUAGAUCCACUAAUGGGAAUAAAAGAAAACAGGCACAGAUACACUAUUUUAAAACACAAUAAUACCAGAUCAUGCACAAGAACACAUUUUAGAAUCAAGGAUCAUUGUAAUUAUUCAAGUAGUAAACUUAAAAGACAAGCAGAAAUAGGAGGCCACCUUUUGUUAGGAGAAUGCUCCCUUUUGACAGUUCCCGAAGAAAAAACAUGGGGAAAACACUCCUUACCACCUACUGUUUAGGCCAUUCCUGCUGUCGACCCUUCAGAUGUGUCCCAGAUAGCUCCCUUUGGAACUGCCUCACCGGGCACCUGCUUCCUGCCUGAGGGGUUCACUAUCUUGGGAGGGAUGGGACAGUCUGGAAGCUUCUCCCAUGCAGACAGAGCAGAGAGAGAAUUAUACAAUAUUUUGUAUCCCAGAUAAAAUUAUAUAAUUUAAGUGGAUUACGGAUUAUUUCACCAAAGUUAUUUUAAAAAUUAAGAACAUAUCCAUAAAUAUUAUUUUAGCCAGAGAUGAUCUAUCAGUACAAAUGUGAACAGUAACAUUGGUACCACAGGCCCUGCCGUGCAAGCUUCUUGGGUAAAUAUUUCAGUAAAACCUUCUCAAAACAGGAUAAAGAUGGCUCAGCUGUUCUGUGGACUCUGCCGAGGCAGUGAGGGAAUUCGCUGUGUCCUUCUGUGGUCUGCCCAUCUCUGGGGCUACUGAAAGGAUUCUUCCUCCAACCUAAGUUUCACAGCAUCAGGCAGCACUUCUGGGUUCCUGGGCAUGCUAUUUCUUUCCCAUUCACUUUUGUCUGAUCAUCAUUUAAAAACAUAAAAUAUGGCUUAAGGGCCAAAUCACAAUUUUUAUGCGUAAACCAAAAUGUCAGUGUUUGUGUAUCAGACUAGGCAGGCUGACACCAGGUUCUACAUUCUUCGCCUCCCCACUAAACUCUCUCCUUUAUUGUCCCAGUGGUUCAGGAAUUCAAACUGCUUAAAAAUAAGACGUUUAAACUCUGGCUUUAUGUACUCUACUUAUUUUUAGAAAUAGAUUCUUGCUCUAUUGCUCAGGAUGGAGUGCGGUGGUACAGUCAUGGCUCACUGCAGCCUUGACCUCCUGGGCUCAAGUAAUCCUCCUUCCUCAGCCUCCCAAGUCACUGGGACUACAAGUGUACACCAUCAUGCCUGGCUAAUUUUUUGAAGUUUUUGUACUGGUGGGGUCUCAGUAUGUGGCCCAGGCUGGUCACAAACUCCUGGCCUCAAGUGAUCCUCUUGCUUUGGCUUCCCAAAGUGCUGGGAUUAUAGGUGUGAGCCACUGUGCCUGGCUUGGCUCCCAAAACUUUUCAGGCAUAAUGGGAAAUUUUAAUAACUUUCUCUGUAAAAUAAGCAUAAUCCAAGGAUGUCCCAUGAUGAGUAUGACAUAUACUUGACCUAAUUAUAAUUUGAUUACACUCAAAUUCAUAGAAAAGCAAGACUAUCAUAUACUAUGUGGAUUUUUUUUAAUGUAACUUUCACCAGAAUGUACAGCCUCUGUAUUGUUAUCCCCACUUUGCAGAAAUCAGCUGAGAGUUUCCUGAGUCACUAAGUACUAGCAGGCUUUGGAUGAUAAUGAAACGAAAGAGUUCCCUGACAUAUGACAGGGGUGUGGCUCACCUGUUUGGUGGCCCCACAGCUGAAACCGCUGAAGGAAGGGGGAGCAUGCAGAAGGGCAGUGCAGAGGCCGGGGCAAGUGUUCUGGCUCCGCAGUAGUGUCUAGAGGUGGAUACCUGCAACCCUCCAUGUUACAAAGCUCUUUCAGUUUUGCUGUCUACAGAUGAGUGUUAAUCAGCUCACUGGACCCUCUGCCUUAUUGCAACGGCAGGGGGCCAGUGUGACAGCCUUCUGUAUCCCAAGCUCUUUCCCAGUGGCCCAGAAGAAUUGGAUCACAUGCAGGCUGGAAAGAUGAGUGCGAGGUUUUGUUGAGUGGUGGAGGUGGCUCUCAGCGAGAUGAUGAGGAGCUGAAAGUGGGGAUGGAGUGGGAAGGUGAUCUUCCCCUGGAGUGGGGCUGCCCAGCAGCCAGACUCCUCCAGUCACCCCCAGCUGAACUCCCCUCAGCAUCCAGACAUCCCUCCUCUUCUCUUUCUCUGCCGCGUCGUUCUUCCAUUGCUGAUCUGCUGGUCUGCUCUGGAGCUUGUAGUUCAGGGUUUAUAUGGGUGAAGGAUAGGGGAAUGGAAAGCCAAAAGGCAACUUUUGGGGUAUGAAAACAGAAAUGCCUAUUCUCACUCAGGGAUGCAGGUAUCUAGGCUUAAAGGUGGGGCCUUUGCCAGGGAACCACCCUCUUCAACCCAGUAUUUUCCCAUUUCCUGUCCGUAUCAAUAAGGUAGAAGAGAGGGCCCUAAAACCCAUUCUUUUCACUGUACCCCAACUCUGUGUCAGUGCACGUUAACAUCCAACUACUCUUUUAUUUCGUUACCUAUGUACCUACAUAUUACUUGAGAAAACUAAAAAAUUGACAGAAGGGCCAAGCAUUCCUUGUUUUAUAGAAAAAAGCCAAAGACAGUGUUUCCAAAGUUUAUCUCAGAGUAAAUCUCUAAAAAUAUGUUUAUUUUUUUAAUGCUCACAGUGAUUAUGGUGGCUUUAUGAAUAUCUGGAAAAUAUUUCUACUAGAGGCAGCUUAAAAUCCACCUUACAAACACACACACACACACACACACAUACACAUGUUCACACACAUGCAUAUACACACAGCCUAUUUACUAGGUAUCUGGCAUCAUGCAAGACACUGAGGUUCAGUGGCAAAUGAGACCAAAAGUUGCUUCCUGUCAAUAACUUGCUAUAAGAGCACUGAGAAGCCAACAGAAUCUAGUGUGGAAGGGACCACAAUGGGCAGAUCCUGGCCAUACUGGGCAAUGAGGCUCAUAUUUGGGAUUAUAGGGAAAUGCAUUCUAGGCUGGUAAACUGAGGGAAAAUAUCUUCCUCAAUGUAUAAAAUCCCUCAUGCAGGUUUUAUGAAAUGAGAAAUUAAGGAUAAAGUGAAAGGAAUAAAAAAGAUGAGAGCAUUACACCUGGUUUGGGGAAUAUGUUUUUAGAAAUAUGCCAUAUGUGAGGCUAUAGAAUGGCACUUUUUGUUCUAUUUUAUGUACACUCAGAAGUAAAUGGCAAUUUAAUACAUUCUUUUAUCAUUCUGCCAAUGUUUAUUAAGCAUUUUCAAUGUUCUGAGUCCACUGUAAAGUGAUAAGAAUAUAGUGAUGAAUGUUCUCAGAAAAACUCAUAAGAGAGGGGUUGAGAUGGAUAUUUUCUAGUUCAAUUCAAUAUGACAAGUUCUGUGAUAGAUAUGAGCUAUGCUCAUAUCUGUUUUGUGUUGCUUUAAAGGAACACCUGAGGCUGGGUAAUUUAUAAAGAAAAAAAGGUUUCUUUGGCUCAUGAUUCUGAUGUUUGGGAGGUUCAGGAUUGGGCAUCUGCAUUUGGUGAAGGUCUCAGCUUGCUUCCACUCCUGGAGGAAGGUGAAGGGGAGCAGUACGUGCAGAGAUCACACAAGGAAAAAGGGAACCAGUGGUGAGGUGCCAGGCUUUUUUCAACAUGCAGUUCUCUUGGGAACUAAAGAAUGAGAGCGCACUCUUCUCUGAGGGAAGGCAUCAAUCUGUUAAUGAGAGAUCUGCUCUCAUGACUCAAAUACCUACCAAUAGGCCCCUCCUCCCAACACCCCCACACUGGGGAUCUAAUUUCAACAUGAGAGUAUGUGGGGACAAACAAACCAUAUCCAAAUCAUAGCACUCAUAUGUACAUAGAAGAUUCCAAAAAUCAAUGCUUGUGAAGCCAGGGAGCGCAUCAGAGAGGAGAUAACACAUUAAUUUGCAUUUAGAAAGAUAAGAGCCUUUUUAUUUCUCAUUUAGAAGCCUACUCUUGCUGGCCAACAAAGGCUUGGAGAGUUGAGCUGCUAUUGGAGAAGUUUCCCUUUAAAUCCAAGAGGGAGGGAAAUUUCAAAAUUACUUUAGAUGCAAUUAGCAGUAAUCAGCUUCAUAUCAUAAAUUUUUGAUGCAAUUGGUCCCUUCCUUUCUGGAUUAUUUUUUCUCUCAUGUCCAGAUGGUUCUCACAAACAUCAGAAGAUGAUGACAUUUUUAAUUUCUUUCACUCAAGCUCUGAAUUUAUCUGAAUGGAAAGUAUAGAGAAGAGUGUGAUUCUUCAAGCCUAACAAGUAUAUCACACUGAUUAAAUUAUGAAAUUAAGAUUUUUUAAAUUCAAAAUUAAUGUAUAACUUUUAUCUACAUAUGUGAGAUAUUUGCAAAGAAAAUUUUAUUGUUCCAAUCAAAAAUUAAUUGUAUUAACAUUUUAUUAUUCAUGUAUUUAUUUAUUCUGAGAGUCUUGCUCUGUUGCCCAGGCAAGAGUGCAGUGGGUCAAUCUUGGCUCACUGCAACCUCCACCUCCCUGGGUCAAGGAUUUCUCCUGCCUCAGCCUCCUGCGUGGCUGAGAUUACAGGCAUGCACCACCAUACUCAGCUAAUUUUAGUAUUUUUAGUAGAGACGGGGUUUCGCCAUGUUGGCCAGGCUGGUCUCAAACUCCAGGCCUCAAGGGAUCCACUCACCUUGGCCUUCCAAAGUGCUGGGAUUACAGGCAUGCGCCACCACACCUGGCCUGUAUUAACGUUUUAGAUGUAGGAAAUGAUUUUUCAGUUCUAAAAUUUUCCUAAAGAAUUAAACAUAACCACUUAAGGAUGCAUUGACCACUGAUCAUUGUUGAAUAAUGAAACUUUAGGGAUACUUACUGGCACAUUCAAGUGAAAAUGUUCUACAUUUCCCUAGGUAGUAUUUCUUUUCUCUAACUGAGCUGCUGCGAGGCUCACAUAGGGUGAAAGUAAGGUAACUGUAAAGGAUGUACCUUGUUAUGGGUCAGGCAGCAGGUUACCGUAUUGGCACAUAUAGCAACAUAUGCAUACAGCAGAGAUCAGAGAAAGAAAGUUUGUAAGAAUUCCUAAAACAGGAUAGCUUUCUAGUUUCUCAAAUACUACUUUCUGAUUUAAACAAAUCCAAAAUACAGUUAUAGCUAACGUCAGAGAAAGGAGUUAUUAAUUCAGCAGUAGACCAUUAAACAAACAGACCCCAGGCUUAGGGGCAGACAGGAUGCUUGGAGAUGCGGAUGUGGAGAGACAAAGGCAAUGUCAAGAGGCCAGUAUGCUUAGAGCCUGGCCUCCCUGGAGUCCUCUGACAGCGGGUGGAUCCCAAUGACCCUGUGCUCCUGAAGGGCAGAAAUUCAGUUAGGAACUUCAGCUUUCAGCUUUGAGGCUCAGGCUAGUGUAUCAGUGGGUAGCUCCACGGCUGGAGGAAAAACAUUCUGCAGCAGUUAUGAAAUAGAGGCUAAUAAUAGGACAAGGGAGAGUGAAAAACAUGAGGUUGGAAAGAACUGGCAGAAAAGAUGAGCUGAUAAAGCAUCCACUUUAAAUAAGGUCAUAAUUUUGCCACAGUUUGGGGUGUUCUCCUGUGCUAAUUUAUAGUCACAAUCAAAGUCACAUGGAAGCCUUAUUUUCUUUGACAAGGUUUUAUUUUCAGUGCACUAGAAAGCUCUUUCUUUUCUGCCUGUGUUAGCAUAUGUGAAAGAAAUAGUGAUUAUUUUAAUGAUAUUAAAUAGUAGCUUUGAUCUCUUCCCCUUACAAGCUAACCAAAACAUUAUCUGGAUGUAUGAAAUGAUUCCUUUGUGAGCAAAACCUCUAUCUAUUACAAUGUUUCUGUUCAUCUACCUGACUCUCCCACUAGGCUUUGAGUUCAUCUGUGCUUCCGGAACCUACCACCUACUCAGGAAAGAUAAACUGAAUCAAUGAAAAAUACACUAAAUGCCUACCACUCUCGUUUUUUAGAGGACAAAUUUGAGGCAUUAAAGAGGAGACAGAAAUGUUAAUAUCAAUCUUCUAUUUCAAACCUGCUAAGCCCAAGGCAAAAGCUUACACCCUUUCUACACUGCUUCAUAAUUGCCUACCUUGUGUUCAUGUUAAACAUGCAAAAGACCGUUGUAUCCACAUUUGAUACAUGACAAGAAGGAGGCUCCCAGAGGGAAGGUCGCUUCCUCAAAGAUGCCCACCAGUAGGUAGGAGGUCUGAUCACCAGUCUCAGUUCUACCUGACUCUAAAGCUCUCGAUCCUCCAAUCUUGUCAAAUUUGCUUUAUUAUAAGAAUCACCAAAGGCCAUGGUUAAAAAUAUAGAUUCUCAAGAUCUUCCUCUGAAGAUUCUAAUUUAGGUAUCAGCUGGGACCCAAUAAUCACGCAUUCAUUGUUGAGACCAAUUUGGGGCACAGUGAAUAAGACUAGUGUUUCUCAAACUCUAGUGAGUGUAUGAAUCCUGUGGGGAUCAACUGCAGAUUAAGGUACAGUGGUAAGUCUGGGGUGGGGCCUGGGAUUCCGUGUUUCCAACAAGGUCGCAAGUGAUGACUGUGCUGGGGGUCCACAGCCACACUUGAAGCAGUGAGGAACUAAGCCUUGCUGUUCAGCUCACAAUAGGACCCUUAUUCCCACCCUGGAGGUCCUUUAGUAAUUCUGCCACUACCAUACACCCUCCAACUCUGUGCAGCCCAGCAAUUAUGCCAGAGCAAGCUUUUCUGCAUACCCUUGUAAAUAGUUUAUGAAGCUUAUGGAAACAUCUGUUUAUCUGUAUUAGUUACCCUGCUAGUUCACAUACCUACCAAAUAAGAAUCUCUGGGUACCUGCAACACAACUUCAUCCCAUGCCCAUCUCAUCCACGAUGGUUUUAAAAGCCAACUGUUUCCACAGGUUUCUAUUAUGACACGGGGAUUUUAUAGAUCAUAUUUGCUAUUCACAGGUUUAGCCUGGACAACUGAUAUUUUUCCCAAACAGUAGAACUUUUAAGUUGGGGGAAAAAUGUUCUCUGCAGCAUUCAGAUAAAUGCAUGAAGAAGCACUUCUUAGAGGUUGCCAGUCAUCACAGCUCUGCAGGACUUAGGUUCAUCUAGGAUAACUCACCUGAGGCUUUAAAAAAAUUACUGAUUUUUGGCCGGGCACGGUGGCUCACGCCUGUAAUCCCAGCACUUUGGGAGGCCAAGGCGGGCGGAUCACGAGGUCAGGAGAUCGAGACCAUCCUGGCUAACAUGGUGAAACCUCGUCUCUAUUAAAAAUACAAAAAAUUAGCCGGGCGUGGUGGCGGGUGCCUGUAGACCCGCUACCAGGGAGGCUGAGGCAGGAGA